AUUAACCGAUCAAGAAACGUAAAUACAAACAGAUUUAUGAAAAUUUAAUACAUUGAUAUAGUUCAGAACUGUAUUGCAAACAUCGUAUAAAUACAGAGUUAUUUUUUUAAACUGGAACUGGCAAUAUAAUCAAUUUUUAUACAUUCACAAAGAUAAAAGAAUGAUCAUGCUAUUUGAAGAGCCCCUUCUAUUCGAAAAUUUAAAUAUCAAAACUACAAAA
rnacentral:lncRNA from 1 species